AGUAUAUAAAAUGUCUCAUGUGCAUUGAUCUACGUAGAUUGGUACCUAUCAUGUAAAUCAUGUAAGCAUGAGAGAUGCCAUUCUAUGUAGAUUAAGGCUCAUAACAUUCUUCUUUUUUUGU
rnacentral:pre_miRNA from 7 species